UUCCUGCAUGCGUUUAUUCAGUCCCAUAUCACGUGUGCGCGUAUAGAGAAAUCUUUAAUCUAGGUAGAAUAUGCAAUCUCAUACUCCAUUUGAAUCAAAUGAGGAAUUAGACUAGAAUGUAGUAAUAGAAUAGUUAAGUAGUUUUACUGUUAGGAAAUGUAGUCCACUGUUAUUUAGAAAUGCAUGAAAUGUAAUGUUUUGUUAUGGCAGAGUUGUGUUCCAUUAUUGUAAUUUCCUUGACUGAGCCCCACAUGGAGAGCUCCCCGUACGGAACCGUGUACCUGUCCCCUCCGCCGGACAACAACUGGAGAAGGGAGCAGCAGCCGUGGGCCGAGGAGAAACGACCAGGAUUUAGAUUAAUAUCACAGCUCAACAGAACCAACUCGGACUCGGCUCUUCAUACGAGUGCCAUGAACCCCCAGGACCCCUUUGGCAUGAACCAGCAGAUGGGCAGAGGGCCCCCCCAGCGCAAUGGUAAGAACACACACACACACAGCAUCUGCACACACACGCAUGCAUACGCAUCGCAUCUACACACUUUGCAUCUGCACGUGCGCAAACAAACACCCUAUUCCCUACACAGUGCACUUCUUCUGAACAGAGCCCAAAGAGAUUGGCUAUUUAACUGUAAAUAAGGGAAUUGUUUUCACCCCACAGUUAGCCACGAUGAUUUGCUAGACUGGUAAAAUGGUUUACAGUUACCAAUGGCUUCUACACUAUUCUACUAGUGCUGCCGUGUCGAUACCAUGUCUCCAGUUGACCUUUUAUCAUCGUGACGCUUAUCUACUUUCUAUGCGCAUUGUGCAAGUUAUGGAUUGUAUCAGAUAUGUGGAACUGGUUGGAGGUUCUUGAGGAGAGGUUGUGCAAUAACAUUCAUUGUAACCAAUGUAAACAGAUGAUGUAGGCAGGAAAUAAUUAAAAAUCUUUCUACAACAUCUAAGGUUUAUUAAAAAAAUUGAGACCUUACUGAGACAUUGUAGAAAGAUAUGAAAUGAUUUCCUGUCUACACUGUCAGUGUGCCUUAUUAAAAUAUCUAAGUGGUGAGAGAAGAGUUUGUCUGGUUGGUUGGAACAGUCCUGGGCCUGUAGAGACUCCUCUCUUUCACUCCUGUCUUCCUUUCCUCCAUUCCUCUCUCCUCUGUGUCUGGAUCUUUAGUUUUUCCCCUUUACCUUCACAUCGCUACUUAUUCUAUCUCAUCCUCUCUUCUUUCUCUUUACCCACCCUCACUUUCCUUUGUCUCUUUUCUUUCCAUUCUCUCUCUCCUUCUGUUGUCUUUCCAGCAUCUCUCCCCUCUCUAUCCCUCCAUCUCUCCCUCCAUUCCUCUCUCGUCUGUGUGUGUAUUUAAAAUGUUCUCCCUUCCAUCCAUUCCUCCCCUUACCCCUCUCUGUUAAGAGUGACAGACAGUGGAAUGUGUUGUGUUAAUGCAUUAUCAGUGAGUGAUGUCUUAAUGUUGGAGAGAGAGACUUGGAUAGGCUCCUACGGUCCCAGAAUGGAUUACCACUCUAUUUGUUUAGCCAACAAGUUUAAACAGGAUAUUGGCAGGCGAGUCCAGCUGUGUAUUGACAGGGGUGGGGUUCUAUAUUGAAAGGCAAGUAUUUUUUUAACUUCAAUAGAGUGAUCAGGGAUGUGCAACUAUAGUUUUCCUUCACGGAAAAUACAUCAGUGCUACACAUUCGGCAGAAAAUAGCUUCAUUUUCAUCAGAUGACAACAGAAGUGCAACACUUUUUGGCUGGCAGCAACACAAGUAAAUGAACUUACAAUGAAUUUUUUUAUUUAUUUUGUAACUAUGCAUGGCCAUGUUAUUAAUGUUUGUCAUAGAAAUAAUUUAGCCAGCUGCAUUUCUUAAUGUUUUGCUUAAAUUUUCCUGGAGAAAAGUAGGCUGGCUAUACCAAGAGAAAUACCGGAGAAAAGUAGCUACACAUCAGUCAGAGCGCUGUCUGCUGAUAGAAUGAUGGAGAACAGUAGCUACACAUCAGUCAGAGUGCUGUCUGC